GAUGAAGAACGCAGCGAAAUUCGAUAAGUAGUGUGAAUUGCAGAAUUCAGUGAAUCAUCGAAUCUUUGAACGCACAUUGCGCCCUUUGGUAUUCCUUAGGGCAUGCCUGUUCGAGCGUCAUUUAAACCUUCAAGCUAAGCUUGGUGUUGGGUGACUGUCCGCUUCACGGCGGACUCGCCUCAAAAUUAUUGGCGGCCGGUACAUUGGCUUCGAGCGCAGCAGAAACGCGAACUCGGGCCCGUCGUAUUGGCUCCCAGAAGCUAUCUUCACAAUUUUGACCUCGGAUCAGGUAGGGAUACCCGCUGAACUUAAGCAUAUCAAUAAGCGGAGGA
rnacentral:misc_RNA from 1 species